CGGGCCCGCGAGUCUUGGCGCGCGGCGGGCCAGGGCCGGGGCGCCUACCUCUUGAGGCAGAGGCGCGAGGGCAGGUAAACUAGUAUUCUGCUUGUCAAGGCCUGGAGAUAGUCUCAUAAAUUCCUAGAAAUCCAAAUAUCCUGGGAAGCCUGGGGAACAACGCCUGCAUCCACCAGAGCAGCAAAGAGAAACAACAGGGAGCAGUACCCUUCAGGGUGGAAAAGAAUGCUGAAGACACUCUCUCCAAGGGGAGCUAUUUGAGGACUUUAUGAAUGGAGAAAGGAUUUCUAGGACUUGAGCCUUGAUGACCCAACAAUGAUUCCGAGAAAGAUGUUUCCAGCUUUGGAGACAGCCUAUUGCGUGUAAGAAGUCAGAAAUUCUCCUCAUGCAGCAAUGGUUGCACCAUGGGAGGUGUUCCCUACAGUUACUAUAAUGCUUCUAAGUGGAAAAGAUGUGUCAAAAGCUGGACCUGAAGGAAUUGUUUGGAAAAUGUAUUGCCAAGGUGAAAAUAAAAUGCCUGUUCAA